UACGGGGGGAGCAAGCGUUGUUCGGAUUUACUGGGCGUAAAGGGCGCGUAGGCGGCCACCGCAAGUCAGUUGUGAAAUCUCUGGGCUUAACCCAGAACGGUCAGCUGAUACUGCGGGGCUAGAGUGCAGAAGGGGCAACUGGAAUUCUCGGUGUAGCGGUGAAAUGCGUUGAUCUACAGAGGAACACCAAAAAAGGCGAAGGCAGUCAACUAUUCUGUUCCUGACAUUGAGGCAUGAAAGCGUGGGGAGCAAACCGG
rnacentral:rRNA from 1 species